rnacentral:rRNA from 1 species
UACGAAGGGUGCAAGCGUUACUCGGAAUUACUGGGCGUAAAGCGUGCGUAGGUGGUUCGUUAAGUCUGAUGUGAAAGCCCUGGGCUCAACCUGGGAAUUGCACUGGAUACUGGCGGGCUAGAGUGCGGUAGAGGAUGGCGGAAUUCCCGGUGUAGCAGUGAAAUGCGUAGAGAUCGGGAGGAACAUCUGUGGCGAAGGCGGCCAUCUGGACCAGCACUGACACUGAGGCACGAAAGCGUGGGGAGCAAACAGGAUUAGAAACCCCCGUAGUCC